rnacentral:rRNA from 1 species
UUGACCUCGGAUCAGGUAGGAAUACCCGCUGAACUUAACUUAAGCAUA